rnacentral:rRNA from 1 species
UCCGUAGGUGAACCUGCGGAAGGAUCAUUACCUAGAGUUUGCAGACUUCGGUCUGCUACCUCUUACCCAUGUCUUUUGAGUACCUUCGUUUCCUCGGCGGGUCCGCCCGCCGGUUGGACAACAUUCAAACCCUUUGCAGUUGCAAUCAGCGUCUGAAAAAACAUAAUAGUUACAACUUUCAACAACGGAUCUCUUGGUUCUGGCAUCGAUGAAGAACGCAGCGAAAUGCGAUAAGUAGUGUGAAUUGCAGAAUUCAGUGAAUCAUCGAAUCUUUGAACGCACAUUGCGCCCCUUGGUAUUCCAUGGGGCAUGCCUGUUCGAGCGUCAUUUGUACCUUCAAGCUCUGCUUGGUGUUGGGUGUUUUGUCUCGCCUCUGCGUGUAGACUCGCCUUAAAACAAUUGGCAGCCGGCGUAUUGAUUUCGGAGCGCAGUACAUCUCGCGCUUUGCACUCAUAACGACGACGUCCAAAAGUACAUUUUUACACUCUUGACCUCGGAUCAGGUAGGGAUACCCGCUGAACUUAAGCAUAUCAAUAAGCGGAGG